rnacentral:rRNA from 1 species
AUUGAACGCUGGCGGCAUGCCUAACACAUGCAAGUCGAGCGGAUGAAGGAGGCUUGCUCCUGGCUUCAGCGGCGGACGGGUGAGUAAUGCCUAGGAGUCUGACUUGUAUUGGGGGAUAACGUCCGGAAACGGGCCCUAAUCCAGCAUCCGUCCUGAUGUUGAACGGGGUGGAUCUUCGGACCUCACGCUAUCAGAUGAGCCUAGUACGGAUUAGCUAGUUGGUGGGGUAACGGCUUACCAAGGCGACGAUCCGUAACUGGUCUGAGAGGCUGAUCAGUCACACUGGAACUGAGACACGGUCCAGACUCCUACGGGAGGCAGCAGUGGGGAAUAUUCGACAAUGGGCGAAAGCCUGAUCCAGCCACGCCGCGUGUGUGAAGAAGGUCUUCGGAUUGUAAAGCUCUUUAAUUUGGGAGGAAGGGCAGUAAGUGAAUCUCUUGCUGUCUUGACGUUACCAACAGAAUAAGCCCCGGCUAACUUCGUG